GAUGAAGAACGCAGCGAAAUGCGAUACGUAAUGUGAAUUGCAGAAUUCAGUGAAUCAUCGAAUCUUUGAACGCAUAUUGCGCUCUCUGGUAUUCCGGAGAGCAUGCUUGUUUGAGUAUCAGUAAACACCUCAACUUCCAUAUCUUUUUUGAAAUGGGAGUUGGACUUGAGUGAUCCCAACGCUUUUCCUCACCGAAAAGUGGCGGGUUACUUGAAAUGCAGGUGCAGCUGGACUUUUCUCUGAGCUAUAAGCAUAUCUAUUUAGUCUGCCUAAAAAACAGAUUAUUACCUUUGCUGCAGCUAACAUAAAGGAGAUUAGUUCUUGUGCUGACUGAUGCAGGAUUCACAAAGACGGCUUCGGCUGGCCUUUGUAAACUCGAUCUCAAAUCAAGUAAGACUACCCGCUGAACUUAAGCAUAUCAAUAAGCGGAGGA
rnacentral:misc_RNA from 1 species